GUUUGCACCUACCAUUUAAUCUCUAGUACUUAACAAAAACUACGUCUAUAAUACACAGUAUGUUGUUGUGGUACUCAUCUUUUUUCAAACACGUAACAAAGUGGUGUUUUGGGACUGCCAUCGCACAAUUCGUAAUUUGUUUUCCUUUUCAUUUUCUUGGGAGUCUCAUACUUAUCGACAUUAAUUGAAAUAGAUUAUACCAACCAGGUUAUAUCGGAGUAUGAGAAAUUUAUUGUGUUGGCUUCGUCGCUCUACAUGGUUGUGCCUUUUGCUCUAUCAAAUGUAUUUCUUUUUGGUAUUCUACAUAGAAAUCCGCUUAUCUUGAAGGUGUUCAUGAUCGGAAGUCUUAUAAAUUGUGUAGUUAUCUUGAUCGUGGUGAUAGGGUCAGGGAUAUUUUUAGCAAUCGAAGGCACUGAUUAUAUUGCUUACAGCUUAAUAGCAGUAGGGAUUGUGCUACAAUUAUUCUUGGGCCACGGAAUUUUGCUAGUCCAUGGAACAAGACAAAAAUAUCUUCACGGACCGGAAGCCACCAGUGUAAACUCAGAUAGAAACAUAGAAGAAACUUAACUGUGAUAAAUAUGUUAUAUUUCGUAAUGUGUAUACAAUAUUUAUUAUUAAAAUAGUUUGUAAAUUAAA